UCCAUGUUUACUCGACCUCCAUAUUUGGAGGGUAAAAGUAAAGAUGACUUCUCUGACCGGACUUAAAGCAAGUUGAAGUUUGCACCAGAUAAGGGGAUGCGUUUAGAUGGUUGGCUGGAAAUCCUUCCCACAAACUGGAUAUAAUGGCUCAGUAUGGUUAACAUGAUUGUGCUUGCCGGAUUUUUGAUAAUUGUUGCUCGGAU